rnacentral:rRNA from 1 species
CGGCGAGUGAAGCGGGAACAGCUCAAAUUUGAAAUCUGGCCCUCGGGUCCGAGUUGUAAUUUGUAGAGGAUGCUUUUGGUGCGGUGCCUUCCGAGUUCCCUGGAACGGGACGCCUUAGAGGGUGAGAGCCCCGUACGGUUGGACGCCUAGCCUCUGUAAAGCUCCUUCGACGAGUCGAGUAGUUUGGGAAUGCUGCUCUAAAUGGGAGGUAUAUUUCUUCUAAAGCUAAAUACUGGCCAGAGACCGAUAGCGCACAAGUAGAGUGAUCGAAAGAUGAAAAGCACUUUGAAAAGAGGGUUAAAUAGCACGUGAAAUUGUUGAAAGGGAAGCGUUUAUCACCAGACUUUUUCUGGGGGGAUCAUCCGGUGUUCUCACCGGUGCACUUCCCCCAGUUGAGGCCAGCAUCGGUUUUCGGAGGGGGAUAAAAGCUUCGGGAAUGUGACUCCCUCGGGAGUGUUAUAGCCCGUUGCAUAAUACCCUUCUGGGGACCGAGGUUCGCGCAUCUGCAAGGAUGCUGGCAUAAUGGUGAUCAACGACCCGUCUUGAAACACGGACCAAGGAGUCGAACAUUUAUGCGAGUGUUUGGGUGUCAAACCCUCACGCGUAAUGAAAGUGAACGGAGGUGAGAGCCCUUACGGGUGCAUCAUCGACCGAUCCUGAUGUCUUCGGAUGGAUUUGAGUAAGAGCAUAACUGUUCGGACCCGAAAGAUGGUGAACUAUGCGUGGAUAGGGUGAAGCCAGGAGAAAUCCUGGUGGAGGCUCGCAGCGGUUCUGACGUGCAAAUCGAUCGUCAAAUCUGCGCAUGGGGGCGAAAG